AAAUAAUUUGUAAAAAUCUGAAUUAUUCAUUUAAAAUUGAGUUUAGGGGAAAUGGCAUUCCCCUUAAUUCUGGAUAACGGAUCCCAUAUCUGUAAUACAUGUUGGUAAAUGCCUGUGUCAGCUAUAUCAUUUCAUUGCUCUAACUACCUACCACCAGCUACCCACCCCUUUCUAUUUUAAGCAAAGCUGCUAGCCUGUUUUCAUGAUAAGAGUUAGGUGCUCUUGCCAUUUCCCACCCAUGGGCCCUUCUUUACUGGAAGAGCUGCAGCUGACAUCCAGAGGCCCUGAGAAUUUGGCCAGUCACAGUGACAAGAAUUAGAAGAAUGUAUCAGGAGGAAGUAGCGGUUGGUGAGUCAGAGUGACUAAUCUCCUUCAUGUAACUUCAAGCCCUUUUUUUUCUCAUUCAGAUGGUAAUGCUUAAUAAUGAGAAAUUUCUUCUUCACAAUGGAAUUCUAGGAUUUUUUUUUUUUCUCAUUUUCCUUUCACUCUGGUCUGGGCGCUGAAGUGUCGGUGCAGUAGUCGUGUUGAAGUGAAAUGGGGGACCUCUCUUGUGCCCAGUGGAACAGCUUUCUGGCAAAGCCCCGUUGAUCUUCAAGGCUCGCUGAUUGCUGCCCUGAAUCUGUUGACCAAGACCAGUAUUCUGUUUUCUUAAAACAACCAAGUGGAGCUCUUGAAAAUCAUAUUCAGUAGGGUGGCUUUCCAGCAGAAGGAGGUGAAAAAAAAAAACAAGUGGAAAACUCCCUGGUGAGAAGAAUGCGCCAUUGCAAACAUCUCAGACAUGAGGCACCUCAGAAUGCAAAGUCACCUUUUAGACUCCUCACUAUGCAUCGUGUGCCACCAUUGUGCCAUUCACAAGAAACAACCAAGCAAUCUCAUCUGGGAACGAAUAAUACUUACACCGUGUGGGCUGCAGGUGGAUUGCCACAAUGCCAUUUAGAGAGCUGCCAUGUGUACUGGAUCAGAGGACACUUUAUACAGAGAUAUUUGGAAUAGUUUCUGUCCUUGCUGCCCCAGGGAAUUCUGCUGUCACCAGCCUCUGCAAUGGAAAUGAUUACAGUAGUCCAGUGUUAUUCUACCGCCUAGGCCACAAUGACACAUGAGACACACGUGAAAAUCGGCAGAACAGGAGUGACAUAUUUGUUCUCCAUCCAUGGCAGGACCUGCUGCUGCGUCUUCAAAGAGCCAAAAGUUCCUGUGUCUUGCUCUGCACUGAAAUGAGUGAAGAAAAAAUGAUUACUGAGGAGUUUAUAGGAUUAAAGGACAAGCUGAACUAACAAGCGAGAGGAUGACAGAAAACGCAGAACCCAUCCCCAUCAUGUACAUACAAUGGAGUGAAAAUAUGGCAUCUUUUAAAUAUGAUUCCACAGGCCAUCAUCAGACGUCAUCAGACAAGAAGCAUAUUCAAGCAUAUUCAUUUAAUAUACGAGCAGUAGCGUGCCCAUGGAAUUUUAAGCGUUUUCCAAUAUUGUUCGGAAAGUAAGAUUUCCCAUAAAUCCAGAGGAGGACAGCUCGAUGGAUAAGUCAAUUGCAUAGUAGAAUAUGUGCUGAUGUAAUAUAGAAAUACUACAGAUGGAAGUCUCGGAGAAAACAAGAAACGGAGACCCCCCCCUGAAAGAUUAUCCUUCAUCGGCCAACACUUGUCCAGGAUGAAGGAUCAGCACAGUCAUUGGUACAGUGAGGAUACAUGGAUAUUACAGACGGCAGGAGUCUUUGACUACAGUUAACCAGAGUCCAUGUUGCGUUUUUAUUGAGAUUAUUCAGCCGUGCCAAAAGCUUGGAAGAAAAAGAGUGAACAUCAACCUACACUUGAGCCCAGUAGGGCUCGCUCUUUCCAUAGCUGCUGAUUAUAUUGCACACUUGGGUGCCGCUGGUCAAAUGAUGCUGUGGAUGAAAGAAUUCAUGGUUAAACUGCAGUCACUGAACUCUAAUCCUGUGAGGAAUUAAAGGCAGAUGUGCACUCCAAACACUGUAUUUCCCAAAAGUGUUAAAACAAGUAUCAGAAGGACCAUUGAUUGGCCGUGUGAAGAGUGUGUGAAACAGCAACACAAUGUCUGGCUGCCAAGCCAUCGGAGGUGGAACCUAAUACCACUGAAGUGCCACAAAAUAUUGCCUGAAUGAGAGAUACAGGAAAUGACCUUCAAAGCUCUCCAACAUAAUAACAAAACCAGUGAGAAAGAGGUUUAAAAAAACUUUGGAAGACGUUUAAUUCUUUUGCAGUGAAGAUUGUCAUUUAUGUAGCAUGCCCAUAGCCUAAUGUACUUUAGGCCACUUGACAGUGCUCCUUCCUCCGCUGUCCAUGGGUCCCGUGCAACAUCUGCAUAUCACUUACUGUACCAUUCAAUGACACUUUAUGUCUCUCUCUCAAUGUGAUAGAAGUGAUAGAACUGAGCAGAGAAGCAUCAGAACCUCUUCCUGCUUCAGAAAAUUAAGUUUUUGCUGUUCUUUAUGGGCCUUGUCAUCUGAACCAGUUUCAUUAACAUCAUGAGAAUGUAGAAAGUAUGCACUUCAACAGUUGGAGAUCAAGCAGAACGGUGGGCAAAGAAUUUACGGUUGUGAAAUGUUUUAUAAACUCUUAUGUACAAUAAGAAUCCCUGGAAAAUAUGGUGGCUAGUUUAAGGGAAUGUGUGCAGAAUUGUAUAUGCUCAUAAUACAAAAGAACCAUCAAUAUCCAUUGGCACACACAAGGAACAUAAGGCAGGCAGAGUAUGGCACACACAGGGAGCAUAGGGCAGGCAGAGUAUGGCACA